rnacentral:rRNA from 1 species
UACGUAGGGUGCAAGCGUUAAUCGGAAUUACUGGGCGUAAAGCGUGCGCAGGCGGCUUUGCAAGACAGAUGUGAAAUCCCCGGGCUUAACCUGGGAACUGCAUUUGUGACUGCAUGGCUGGAGUGCGGCAGAGGGGGAUGGAAUUCCGCGUGUAGCAGUGAAAUGCGUAGAUAUCUGGAGGAACACCGGUGGCGAAGGCGGCAUCCUGGACCGACACUGACGCUGAGGAGCGAAAGCCAGGGGAGCAAACGGG